rnacentral:rRNA from 2 species
AAGUCUGCUGUGAAAGCCCUCAGCCCAUUUGAGGAAGUGCAGUGGAAACUACAAAACUUGAGUACAGACCUGGAAAGUGGAACUCCAUGUGUAGCGGUGAAAUGCGUAGAUAUAUGGAAGAACACCAGUGGCGAAGGCGGCUUUCUGGUCUGUUACUGACGCUGAGGCUCGAAAGCAUGGGUAGCGAACAGGAUUAGAUACCCUGGUAGUCCAUGCCGUAAACGAUGAAUACUAGGUGUUGGAGGGUUUCCGCCCUUCACUGCCGCAGCUAACGCAUUAAGUAUUCCGCCUGGGGAGUACGACCGCAAGGUUGAAACUCAAAGGAAUUGACGGGGGCCCGCACAAGUGGUGGAGCAUGUGGUUUAAUUCGAUGCUACGCGAAGAACCUUACCAGCUCUUGACAUCUUCUGCCAACCCGAGAGAUUGGGCGUUCCCUUCGGGGACAGAAUGACAGGUGGUGCAUGGUUGUCGUCAGCUCGUGUCGUGAGAUGUUGGGUUAAGUCCCGCAACGAGCGCAACCCUUAUUAUUAGUUGCCAGCAUUUAGUUGGGCACUCUAGUGAGACUGCCGGUGAUAAACCGGAGGAAGGUGGGGACGACGUCCAAUCAUCAUGCCCCUUAUGAGCUGGGCUACACACGUGCUACAAUGGAUGGUACAACGAGUCGCAAACCGCGAGGCAAGCUAAUCUCUUAAGCCAUUCUCAGUUCGGAUUGCAGGCUGUACUCGC